ACGCGCAGAACCUUACCUAGGCUUGACAUGCACGGAAAUCCUCCAGAGAUGGUGGGUCCGCAAGGGUCGUGCACAGGUGGUGCAUGGUUGUCGUCAGCUCGUGUCGUGAGAUGUUGGGUUAAGUCCCGCAACGAGCGCAACCCUCGUUCUAUGUUGCCAGCACGUAAUGGUGGGGACUCAUAGGAGACUGCCGGGGUCAACUCGGAGGAAGGUGGGGAUGACGUCAAAUCAUCAUGCCCCUUAUGUCUAG
rnacentral:rRNA from 1 species